rnacentral:rRNA from 1 species
UACGUAGGGUGCAAGCGUUAAUCGGAAUUACUGGGCGUAAAGCGUACGCAGGCGGCUUUGCAAGACAGGUGUGAAAUCCCCGGGCCUAACCUGGGAACUGCAUUUGUGACUGCAUGGCUGGAGUGCGGCAGAGGGGGAUGGAAUUCCGCGUGUAGCAGUGAAAUGCGUAGAUAUGCGGAGGAACACCGAUGGCGAAGGCAAUCCCCUGGGCCUGCACUGACGCUCAUGCACGAAAGCGUGGGGAGCAAACAGG